AAUAAACGCUGGCGGUAUGCUUAAGACAUGCAAGUCGAACGGUAACAGGUUAAGCUGACGAGUGGCGGACGAGUGAGUAACGCGUGGGAAUCUACCUUGUAGUGGGGGAUAAGCCAGGGAAACUUGGACUAAUACCGCAUACGCCCUAAGGGGGAAAGGCGCAAGUCGCUAUAAGAUGAGCCCGCGUCUGAUUAGGUAGUUGGUGGGGUAAAGGCCUACCAAGCCGACGAUCAGUAGCUGGUCUGAGAGGAUGAUCAGCCACGUCGGGACUGAGACACGGUCCGGACUCCUACGGGAGGCAGCAGUCGGGAAUAUUGGACAAUGGGGGAAACCCUGAUCCAGCAAUACCGCGUGUGUGAAGAAGGCCUGCGGGUUGUAAAGCACUUUCAGUUGGGAAGAUAAUGACGUUACCAACAGAAGAAGCACCGGCUAACUCCGUG
rnacentral:rRNA from 1 species